rnacentral:lncRNA from 1 species
UUUUAAGUUUUAAGCGCGUCCAAAACGCUGGAGGAAAAGUAUUCCGCUGUAAACGGGUAGAGAGAUUCCUUUGCGGUGAAUUUUUUUUCAUACCAUACACAGCGCCGAAAACGACAGCGCGUGGAUGAACUCAAGUCAAUUAGUUGGAAACAACGGAAGCAGCAAGAGAGAGCAUGAUGUACCCUUUGUGUGCGAGUCGUAGUAGAAGGCAUACAGUCCAGUCCCACUCAAGCCGUUCUCCAUCUCUCAGGCGGAGCCUCUCAGGUACCUUCACAUACAUACACACAUAUACAUGCAGAUUACUCAUGUUUUGCUCACUUUUGAGGUCACAUAAACUGUUUGAUGGAUUGUCUAAAUGAAGUGAGUGGGGAACUUGGGUGGUUAAUGUCUUUGCCAGGAGCCUCAAACAUAGUUUUGGAAUCUGUUUAAUGUUAUUAUGUUUUUUAAGGCAAACUGUGGAGGACAUGGCAUAGUUGGUUUAUGUUGUGCAUGUGGCUCAUGUUGAGUAGAACACAGGCUCUGGAUCAAAUGGAUCGAUACCGACGCGGAGUGGAGUGGAGUGAGACGAG